rnacentral:rRNA from 1 species
GACGAACGCUGGCGGCGUGCUUAACACAUGCAAGUCGAACGGAAAGGCCCUGCUUUUGUGGGGUGCUCGAGUGGCGAACGGGUGAGUAACACGUGAGUAACCUGCCCUUGACUUUGGGAUAACUUCAGGAAACUGGGGCUAAUACCGGAUAGGAGCUCCUGCUGCAUGGUGGGGGUUGGUAAGUUUCGGCGGUUGGGGAUGGACUCGCGGCCUAUCGGCUUGUUGGUGGGGUAGUGGCUUACCAAGGCUUUGACGGGUAGCCGGCCUGGGAGGGUGACCGGCCAAAUUGGGACUGGGAUAAGACCCAGACUCCUACGGGAGGCAACGGUGGGGAAGAUUGUACAAUGGGAGGGAGCCUGAUGCAGCAACGCCGCGUGCGGGAUGACGGCCUUCGGGUUGUAAACCGCUUUCGUCUGUGACGAAGCGUGAGUGACGGUAAUGGGUAAAGAAGCACCGGCUAACUACGUG